rnacentral:rRNA from 1 species
UACGUAGGGUGCGAGCGUUGUCCGGAAUUACUGGGCGUAAAGAGCUCGUAGGUGGUUUGUCGCGUUGUUCGUGAAAACUCACAACUCAAUUGUGGGCGUGCGGGCGAUACGGGCAGACUGGAGUACUGCAGGGGAGAAUGGAAUUCCUGGUGUAGCGGUGGAAUGCGCAGAUAUCAGGAGGAACACCGGUGGCGAAGGCGGGUCUCUGGGCAGUAACUGACGCUGAGGAGCGAAAGCGUGGGGAGCGAACAGG